AAGUCGUAACAAGGUUUCCGUAGGUGAACCUGCGGAAGGAUCAUUACCGAACCGUCGACACGAGUUGUUGCUGGUCCUCGAAAGGGGUCAAGUGCACGCUCUGUUUACACAUCCACUCACACCUGUGCACCCUCUGUAGUUCUACGGCCUGGGGGCUCCGUCCUCUCGCCGUGGUCCUACGUCUUUACACACACGCCGUAACGUAGUCUCAUGGAAUGUAUCUCGCGUUUAACGCAGUAUAAUACAACUUUCAGCAACGGAUCUCUUGGCUCUCGCAUCGAUGAAGAACGCAGCGAAAUGCGAUAAGUAAUGUGAAUUGCAGAAUUCAGUGAAUCAUCGAAUCUUUGAACGCACCUUGCGCCCUUUGGCUAUUCUGAAGGGCAUGCCUGUUUGAGUAUCAUGAACACCUCAACUCUCAUGGUCCGCCAUGAUGAGCUUGGACUUUGGGGGUCUUGCCGGCCGAUCGCCGGCUCCUCUCAAAUGAAUCAGCUUGCCAGUGUUUGGUGGCAUCACGGGUGUGAUAACUAUCUACGCUUGUGGUUUCCCACCAGGUAACCUCCAGUGAUGGGGGUUCGCUGAAGCUCACAAACGUCUCUCCUCUGCGGAGACAG
rnacentral:rRNA from 1 species